rnacentral:rRNA from 1 species
AUUGAACGCUGGCGGCAGGCCUAACACAUGCAAGUCGAGCGAGCGGCGGACGGGUGAGUAAUGUCUGGGAACCUGCCUGAUGGAGGGGGAUAACUACUGUAAACGGUAGCUAAUACAGCAUACCAUCAGAUGUGCCAAGAUGGGAUUAGCUAGUAGGUGGGGUAACGGCUCACCUAGGCGACGAUCCCUAGCUGGGCUGAGAGGAUGACCAGCAACACUGGAACUGAGACACGGUCCAGACUCCUACGGGAGGCAGCAGUGGGGAAUAUUGCACAAUGGGCGCAAGCCUGAUGCAGCCAUGCCGCGUGUGUGAAGAAGGCCUUCGGGUUGUAAAGCACUUUCAGCGGGGAGGCGUUAACCGCAGAAGAAGCACCGGCUAACUCCGUGCCAGCAGCCGCGGUAAUUC